GCCAGUGUGGUGUAGUGGUUUGAACGCAGGACUACAACUCUGGAGACCAGGGUUCGAUUCCUGCUCGGCCA